UACGUAGGGUGCAAGCGUUGUCCGGAAUUAUUGGGCGUAAAGAGCUCGUAGGCGGUUUGUCGCGUCUGCUGUGAAAACCCGAGGCUCAACCUCGGGCCUGCAGUGGGUACGGGCAGACUAGAGUGCGGUAGGGGGAGAUUGGAAUUCCUGGUGUAGCGGUGGAAUGCGCAGAUAUCAGGAGGAACACCAAUGGCGAAAGGCAGAUCUCUGGGCCGUAACUGACGCUGAGGAGCGAAAGCAUGGGAGCGAACAGG
rnacentral:rRNA from 1 species